rnacentral:lncRNA from 1 species
GAUAGUUCAGGUUUUGAACAGGUAAGGAACAACCCAACCCCUCAACUGCUCAAGGUAAUGCCUUGGUCAUUCCAUACUCUUAUAAAUAUUUGUUAGUUAAAUUUGAGUCUUUGCAAAAUUAAUAAGCAAUUGAGUUUCCUUCUUGAAGGCCUAGUUCCUACCAGAGACAUAUGUGGAUAUGUCUCUGCUCUUGCUUGAAAAAAAAUAGAUCUACAUCACGAUAGUCAAACCUGAUGAGAAACCUUGAACAUUGACAGAUCCUAGGGGGGGGUCCGGGGGUUGGAACCCCCACUUUUUUGACCGAUUAAUGCAUUUGAAUGGGGACGUAUAGUUGGAACACCCCCCCCCUUUUUUAAAUUGUCUGGAUCCGCCCCUGUUGUAUUCUUGCAUGCAUGGUGCAGGACAAAUAAUAUUCAGGAAAAUUACAACAGUUUAUAAUGAUUAAUUCAUAGACAUCUGGACAUAGGUGCUUUAGGACAGGAUUCUGGUAUGAGACCGCAACAGUGGCGGAUCCAGGGGGGUCCGGAACCCUGCUUUUUUUGGAGGAUCAAUGCAUUUGAAUGGGGACAUGUAGUUUAAACCCCACCUUAUAUUUGUCCUGGUUAGGACCCCCUCCCCCUUUUAAAAUGGCUGGAUCCACGGCUGCCCAAUAGUCUCUUCCACAAGGCCUUUUUAUCAUAAAUCCUAGAUUUUCAAUACUGUAAAUUCAGAAAAAUAGUUUUAUAAAUGCCAAAUUAGAGUUUUUACCCCAAUUUCACGCUCCACUGAACAUAGAAAAUGAUAGUGCAAAUGAGGCAUCCCUGCACUAUAGACACAUUCUUGUUACUGACUAAUUAUAAAUGUAUGUUUACUCAUAUCAACAUGUACCUCAACUAAUUUUAGAGCAAAUCAACCCUCUUAGUCAAGUUUUACGUCGAUAGUAAACAUGUGUAUUUAGAGUAGAAAUAGAGUAAAUUGGUAUAUAUAUAUGGAACAAAUAAGUGAUAUAUUGAAAAUCUUAGAUUUAAAGGGGAGGGACUAUGGGGUCUCAUACCAGGAUUGGCUGUCCUCAAGCACAUAGGGUUUAAAUAUAGAUGUAAAUUAUACAUGUAUAACCAUUUGAAUCUAAACUUUCUUUACAGAUCACUAGAUAAAUGGAUAAACUGAGCAUGCUGAUACAUUACUUGUCUCUCUUGAGUUUUGUUGCCUGCAUCUUUGCUAAAGGUAAGAAUGAAAUCAGGUAGAAUUUGAAAAAAAAUUGUAUCUGUCAUCAAUGAAAAUAAAAUAAACAACAAAACACAAUAAUCUUGUGGUAAAUGAGUAGGGGCUUUAAAACCCUGCAAUGUCCCAAGAAAAUAAGUUUUGAGAAAAAUAUCAAGAUUUUAUAAACUGCACUGUUUUCAUGAAAAGGAAUAAAACUACAGAAUAUUAUAAUGCAGUUUUCAAUCAAUAUUUUUCUUGUGGGAACAUCAUGCGCAGCCAAGAAACAACAAAAAUUAUAACUGUUGACAUAAUCUCAUCAAAAAGAAAGAUGUUUCUAAUUUUAAAGGGUGCACACAUACUUUAUCAUUAUCAAUCUAAUAUGAUGUAAAACAAGGAAAAUCAAGAAGUUUUAUAAAAUAUACAAAUUUGUUAUGUUUUGUUGCCAUGGUAACUCGCUAAAUGUGAAAUUUGUUUUUAUUUUCUAAAUACCUUGUACAUGUAUAGUCAUGUAUAAAGUAUAGUAAGGACAUAUUUGAGAGUAUGUCUGAUAUAAAUCUUUAAUUUUGCACUUAUAUUUGGGCCAAAUAAGGGCUUUAUUAAUCUUACUCCUUUUAUGUAAAGUUUUAUGACAAAGCUGAUUCCCCUGGGCAAUAUUGAUAACUCACAUGUUUGAAAACUAAAAUAAAAGAAAAUUGAACUGAUGUCAGAGUUACAAAAAUUAAGUAUAUUUUGGAGUAAAGAUGUUACUGACCUGUAGACUUUAGGCAUUUUUUAAAAUGUUCAAGAAGGAAUGUAUAAUUAAUAAUGAGUCAUCUAAAACUAUAACAAUUAUGAAUACUCCUUCCACUGAAACAGCUUAAUUCAUCAAUUCAAGACUCCAUGAUGCUCUUGUUCGAGCACUGACUAUUCAUUAUCAUGAUUUUAAUGUAUCUUAAGGCCAAAUGAAAAAUAUAUGUGUGGUUCCAGUUACCCUACCUUUCCUACUUUUUUGUCUUAAAAAUAGCCUACCCUAAAGAUUUUAUUGUCAUUUUUCAUUAAGCACUGUAAAAGUCAGAAUGUUGCUCCCAUAGAUUCAAUAUAAAAAAAAACAUAAAAUUAAAAAAAAUCCCUACCUACCUACCCUAACUUUUUUUCAGAUGUAACUGGAAUCACACAUACUAUUUUAUUUGGCCUAAUGUCCAUCUGGAUUUAUUGGUACCUAACAGAAAUUUUAAAUGAUUUUGUUCAUAUGAUCCAGUUUAAGUACAUUGUAUUAUUAUUAAACAUAUUGUAAAUCCUUCCAUUAUUCAUUUGGCAAAUCUUUGUUUUAGUUGAAUGGAAAGUAGAGGAAAAAAUAUCAGCAUAUGGAGAAGAUUUAAGACUGCUUUGUACCACUGAUGAUUAUUCCAUUAAUGGAGGGAAGAUUAAAAGAUGGGAAGGCGGACCUAAACAGAAAAUGCUAACAUUGAAUGGUGCCCCUGACCAAGAGGAUGUUAUGAAAUAUAAGAUGCCCAUGCAAAAAGAUGGUUUUAUUUUGGUCAUUAAAAAUGUUUCUAAAGCGGAUUUGAAUGUGACUUAUGAAUGCACAUAUGGAUUUAAAACAUCUGGAAAAGUUAUGUUGAAAACAGAAGAUGCAUUUGAAGGUAUACAAUUGUUCAAAUAUUUUAUUAAGUAACUGUUCUAUUAUAAGAAAUAAAAUCAUUGCUCACAUAUUUGUGAUGCUAAUCUUACUUUUUGGAAACAUUAGAACUUGUUCUAAAUCUUUACUUAGGCACCGGCCUCCCUAACAACAAGACAGGUUAGCUACUGUUACUAAAUGUAUUCACACUGAAAUAUAGUUCCCUAUAGUUCUCAUGAAUGUGCACAAUAUACACACAUAAACUGAAAAAAUGGGUAUAUAUUUUUUAGCAGUUCAUUGAAGAAUGUAUGUCAUUAAGAUGUGUUGAUGUGCAGGCUUUUUUUUUUAAAUAUUUUGAUUAGGUAAUUGGGUUUUGAUAUCAUACUAGUAUGAUUGACAACUGUCAUUAUCACCAAACAAUCAGUAGACCUUUAAUUACAAAACCCCACCUCCUAAACUGUCAAUCAAAUUGACUACAUUACUUGUCAACCUCAGUCUUACAUAAUUAUACAGACCCUCCAAUACACAUUUGAAUAAACAAAUAUUUGACCUCAUAAUUGAAUACACAAAUGUAUAUAUUAGAUGUUUGAUAUAUAUAUAAGGAUGAUAGAUUUAUUUAUUGCCUAUUACUUUUGAUCUACAUUACAUAAAGUGAUUCUGUAAGUUAUGUUUGAAAGAUAAAUAAUUAAUGGAUUAACAAGAUCUUUAAAAAAAAAAUGAAAUAUGAAUAUAAAUAUGAAUAUAUAAAAGGUAUUCAAGUAAGGCCUAUAAUUUACUUGAUAAAUUUCCAAUAAUCUGACAUCUGUAAUUAAUCAACAAUUUAGAUUAGUUCACUUAUUGUUUUUUAUCAGGAAUUGGCUUGAAACAUGCAGUUUUAAAAUUUUAAAACUUUUAAGUAUAACAAACCAUUGUUUAUUAGUUUAUUCCCUAUCAAUCAUUGUGUCUAUUUUAGGGAUUUGAAUUUUUAUUUAAGAAGUGAAUAUGUAUUUUUGCAAUCAAGAAAGAAUCCACAUUUCAAUCAAAUAAGUUUUUUAAUUUGUAUACGUUGAAAAAGUACAUUUUCAAUGCCUGUGUUGAAAAAUACUUUAAAAAUUGAUCAAAAAGCACUCUACAAAUUUUUAUCUUCAAUGUCAUAUAACAAUAUGUUUCAACUUAGAAAAUGCCCCAAAACAACAUUUUUAGAUUAUUUUUCUUGACACUUUAAAGUUAUUAGCUGUUGGUCUAGAAUUUAUGUUUUCAAGGAUCAUUGGUAACAUUUACUAGAAGAAUUUUUUAUUUGCAAUUUUUUUUUUUUUUUUGAAACAUGUUCAGAACAGGCAACAUUAUUUGGAUAAGAUAUAAACUGCAGUUUAAAUAAAAUUUUGUGAAUUAAGACUAGAGACCAAUAUUAUUAGCUCACCUGGCCUAAAAGGCCAUGUGAGCUUUUCUCAUCACUUGGCGUCCGUCGUCGUCGUCGUCGUCGUCUGUUGUCGUUAACAAUUUUUCAAACAUCUUCUCCUCUGAAACUACUGAAUGGAUUUGAAUGAAACUUAACAUGAUUGUUCCUUAGAAUAUCCUGCACAAAAUGUGCGCUUCGAUUUUUGAUCCGUCAAAAAACAUGGCCGCCGUUACUUAAAAUAGAACAUAGGGGUCAAAUGCAGUUUUUGGCUUAUAUCUCAAAAACGAAAGCAUUUAGAGCAAAUCUGACAGGGGUAAAAAUGUUCAUUAGGUCAAGAUCUAUCAGCCCUGAAAUUUUCAGAUGAAUCAAACAAAACCAUUGUUGGGUUGCUGCCACUUAAUUGGUAAUUUUAAGGAAAUUUUGCAGUUUUUGGUCAUUAUCUUGAAUAUUAUUAUAGAUAAAGAUAAACUGUAAACAGCAAAAAAGAUCAGCAAAGUAAGAUCUACAAAUAAGUUAAUAUGACCAAAAUUGUCAAUUGACCCCUUAAGGGGUUAUUGUCCUUUAAUGACAAUUUUUCACAAUUUGUUCAUCAUAUUUGCUAACUUUAAAAAAUCUUCUCCUCUGAAACUACUAAAUGGAUUUGGUUAAAACUUAGCAUGGUUGUUCCUUAGAUUAUCCUGCACAAAGUGUGUGCUUUGAUUUUUGAUCCGUCAAAAAACAUGGCCGCCGUUACUUAAAAUAGAACAUAGGGGUCAAAUGCAGUUUUUGGCUUAUAUCUCAAAAACGAAAGCAUUAAGAGCAAAUCUGACAUGGGGUAAAAAUGUUCAUUAGGUCAAUAUCUAUCAGCCCUGAAAUUUUCAGAUGAAUCAAACAUCCAAUUGUUGGGUUGCUGCCACUUAAUUGGUAAUUUUAAGGAAAUUUUGCAGUUUUUGGUCAUUAUCUUGAAUAUUAUUAUAGAUAAAGAUAAACUGUAAACAGCAAAUAUGAUCAGCAAAGUAAGAUCUACAAAUAAGUCAAUUUGACCAAAAUUGUCAAUUGACCUCUUUAGGAGUUAUUGCCCUUUAAAGACUUUUUUCACAAUUUGUUCAUCAUGUUGACUUACUUUAAAAAAUCUUCUCUUAUGAAACUGCUGUAUCAAUUUCAGCCAAACUUAGGCUAAAUGAGUUUCAGAGUUUCAGAGUAUCUAGUAUAAAUUUUAUAUUUCAUUUCCUUGUAUGUCAAGAAACAUAGCUCCUAUGGCUAAAAUAGAACAUAGGAGAAAAUAAUUUUUUUUUGCUUUUGAAGAAAAUAGGACGAUUCAAAGAACAUUUAAAUAAAUUGAAAAGCCAAAAUAAUCAUUGAUGAGAGAUUAAACCAAAAAAAUUCAGGUGAGCGAUUCAGGCUCUUGAGAGCCUCUUGUUUAAUUUGAGCUCAUUUUAUCCUCAUACUGGAAAAAGACUUUUCCUUCUAAAGACCUGCUGUUAAUGCAAUUUUCAGCAAUAGUGCUUUAUUAAUGUUCUUUUGUCCCCAAUAUACCUUGAUAUGAAAUUAUUCAAACUACUCUUCUAAUCAUUCCAUGAGCAAAUGAUGAGUGAUAUCCAUCACUUUGAUUUUCCUUGUGGAAGGUGUAAUUUUUUCAUUUGACUUGUGAUUGUUGUAUCACCUAGAAUGUGUGACUCAAAGGUAUGUUAAGACUGCAUCAAAAACUAUUGGUAUAACACUUGAUAAUGUAUAAAGCUUAAUUUUUCAGUGGGUGCAUAGAAUAUCUGGAUAUGCCAUACCUUGUAUCUAGCCUUAUGUUACUAAGUUUCUGUCUGUCAUAUGUUCAUUGACCUAGAAGUUGACCACUUUUUUGUGGUUCAGCAACUACUUAUUUCUCACGCAAUCAUAUAAUCUCUUAUUAAGAAUAAUAGGUUAAUAAUAUAAAAUCAUUCUUCAUGUAAGAAUUAACAAUAAGAAAAACCUUAUAAUAAUCAUUAAAAAUAUAUACUCAGUAUUAGUUGAAUGUACUAUAAAAGGCCCAGUACAUGAAAAAUGUGAAACAAUUCAUAAGUGAACUUACAGCCUAUAAAUUUAUGCAAACCAAUUUUUGAAAAUCAUUUACAACAGAUUUAAACCAAUGUCACAAUCACUGAACUACAUGCUACUGAAUACAUACAUGAAAAGUAUGGUGGGGUUAAACAUGUUAGUGCAUGCUCAACCCUCUCUCUUAUUUUCUGGGACAAUGGUGUAACAGCAAUUAUUUUUUAUAUUUUUUUGUUUUGGCUAUAGAUCGAGGUAGCAAAAAAGAAAAAUGAACCUUGGGAAACCCUAUAUAUACUAAAUUAAUGCAUUCCCAAAAUUUUCCUUUUUUUCAGAGAGACAGGCUACAAAACAAAGUGAGGGAAAAAACAAUACAAUGCUGUAAGUUAAAAAUGUGAUUGUUUUUCUUUUAAAAACUUUCUAAAAAGAGAAGAAAUACUGGGUAACUAUCAUAUUACUGACAAACUGGAGAGAGUUUCAUCCCUUCUAUUGUAUGUAUGUUCUUCAUGCAUUCAUGUUUUAACCUACUGAACCUUUGAAAGAAAAAAUGAAAAAGCUAAAAACAAAUUCCUGUCUGAUGUCAUUAAGGAUUGUGAUAAAGAUUGUUUUUGUCAUGUAUGUACUAAAUAAAGGAAGCCAAAGGAAUCUACAUCAAUGAAAUAACACAAGAAAACAAAAAAUCCUGAAACAAUUUGUAAAAUCAUAAUAUGAAUCAUUAAUGUUGCUAUUGUUUUAUUUUAGUUAUGUCAUAAUUAUAGUCACAUUGGUAGUGCUUGCUGCUGUUGCCAUUUGUAUCAGUCUGUUAUUAAGACGCAGAAAUAGAAAACUUAAAGUACGGAAAAAUACAGAUGAUCUAGAUUGUAAUGAGAAUUCAGAAAGUAGAGGUUGGUUUUUAAAACUUUUUUGAAAAUUAAGCUACAAUUUAUUAGUGCCAUACUGUGGUUAGUGGUUUUCGAAAGGCAAAAUGGUCACAUCUAUUGUAAGGAUAUUAUCAUAAGCAAUUUCUGUAUCAUCCCUUUUAAGGAUCCAGACUAAAAAAAGGCAGACUUUUUAUUGUUAUUGUUAUUUUAGUUUUAUCUCUAUAUUGUAUAAUUUGUACAAUUUCUGCUUUAAACGUGUAUUUCACAGACAAAGAUUUAAAGUGAAUGAUAUCAAUGUCAAAUAUAUCACAUAUAAAAACUAAUCUGACAGAAAAAUUCCUUCCCUGUUUUUGUUAGGCCAAAUAAAAAAGUAUGUGUGUUCCAGUUACAUCUGAAAACAAGUUAGGGUAGGUAGGUAGGGAUUUUAUUUUAUUUUAUGGGUUUUUUUUUACAUUGAGUCUAUGGGAGCAACAUUCUGACUUUAACAGUGCUUAAUGAAAAAUGACAAUAAAAUCUUUAGGGUAGGCUAUUUUUAAGCCGAAAAAGUAGGGACGGUAGGGUUACUAGAACCACACAUAUAUUUUUAUUUGGCCUUAUAUUCUCAAAAUUGAGGUCAUCAUCGCAAAUUGAAAAUUAUUAAAAAAAUUGUGCAAUAUAUAAGUUUUAAGAGUAUUAAAAUAAAAUAUAUUUGACAUCAAUAAUAACGACCCAAAUCUUACCAUGUAUUUAUAUACAAUACAUAUAGUGUUUCCAAUUCAUUGCUAUUGCUACAAGUUUCAGGAAAUAUAACAUAUCUUAAGCAUAACUUUAACUUUAAUGGAAAUUAGUUAACAGAAAAAUUUUCAUUUCAGUGGUGACAAUGAAUAUUUCAACCAUAAAAAGUCUGAGAUAAGAAUGUGAUUAAGAAACUGAAAUUAAAGUUAUUUCCCUUGUUUUCAGUUGGAAAGAUACAUAGGACUAGUGUUCCCAAAUUGGCAAUUUUUUUUUGUUUUAGGUUAAAAACAUGUGAUUUAGAAGAAUUGUCAAAAAUAAAAAAUUCUCAUUUCUUUAAAAUUUUUAAAUGUUCAUGACUUGAGAUAUGAUGUCAACGUUUGGACUCGAUUCACUCAUUUUUAAACAAUCACAAAAUGAAAAUUGGUUCUGGUAAUUUAAUGUUUUCAUUAGUAAUGUAAGUGAAAAGAAUGUGCAGAAAGAUUAGUUAAGUGUGUGCAUGUAUUGGUUCAAUAAUUCCCUUGACAUUGUAAUUAUAAGAAAAUAGUUUUGUGACUUCCAUACAUUUGUGUAUUAGACAGAGGUGGAUUUAGGGGGGGGGGGAGUCAAUGGCCCCUAAUUUCUGGAUCUGCCACUGUUAGAUGAACUGUAUUACAAAUAAAAAGGAUAGGUAAUGCUGAAAACAAAUUCCCAGUAGGCCAAUUUUUAUUUGAUUUCAGAAAUUGAUAUUUUUAAUUGAUAUGGCAUAGUUGUAGUAUAUUUGUAUUUCAAAGUUUUAAAAAUGUGUUAUAAAUAUGAUUUAUGAAAUAAUAUUUUUUAUUUCAGAAAGAUUAAGUUGCCUGAUUCAAAUGACAGAUCCAGAAGUUGGAGAACAUCCAGGUAUAUUUCACAUACACUUAUUUCUGUUUUGCCUGUGUGUACAAUAUUUUGGUUGCAUUUUACUAUUUGGUAUUUGGAAAAAUAAAUGAGAAUGAUUUAAUGCAAAGAAAAUUGUUAAGUUCAACCAUUUUUGGCUACAACAUGAUAAAGGGUUCAAAUGUUACAUGAUUGAGCCUUAUAAAAUGCAACAAAAUGAAUAGGAAAGAUUGAUGAUAUGUCAGUUUUCUAGUUCUUACAAAAACAAAAAAACGUUUUUAACAUUUGAGUUUAAAAUAUGUACUUCAACAUCAUUCGCAGCAGUGAACAAGAACUAAAAGAUAUGUCUUUUUAGAUUCAGCCUCAGAAGUACCACCACUGAUAACUGAUUGCUUUCUUCCAGAGAGUAACAGUUCCAAUGAAGGUUUGUUAAUAGAUAUUUAUUGCAUUUAUUAUAUAAUUAUUUGAAUGGCUCCUUUUUAUUUCAACAUGGAAUAGGAAUUAAUACUUUAUGAUAAUUAGCACAACUCUUGGAAGGUAGGCUAAAUUGUAGUAUUGAUGUCUAUCCCUUCACCCAUAUUAUAUGUUAUUCAGGUCUCAGACAGUAUAUACCCUUUCUGAGACCUGAAUUACACAUAUAUUACGGAUUACCCCUGACUUAAUGUUAUUUUCCAGUGCAGGUAUUUGUUGACAACACAUAUAUAUUGAAAACUCCAACCUGAUAUGUUCGGCAUACGUGAAGGAUUUUCUAAUUUGCUGUGAACAUAAUUUUAUCGUGUAUGUAAUAAUUUAUAAAUAACACUUUUAACAUUAAAUUUAAGUAUUAAAAGUGUAAAAUGCGUGAUUUUGUAUCAAAAAUGUAUUAUUGACUGAAGCACGUCAUUAUUUUCCCUCUGUGAGCCUCUGACAGUCUGAUAGCUUUUGACUACGUCACAUAGUAACCGGUGUAAUGAUGACGUUUUUGAGGUUCCAAUUGGGGAUACAAACGUCGUAUAUACCCCGGCAGUUUCCUGAAUAUAUACUGACAUCUGUGUGUUGUUAUCCAAUCACAAACCUCGACACAUUUGUAAUCCGUAAUAUAUUUAUAUAUUCGUUUGUAGAUUUUGUAUGUGCCUAAAUUGGUUUGAUAUCAACAUAAGUUUUAUCAACCAAAUGUUAUGAAACUUAUACACAAUGCUUAUUACCACAAAACUAAAAUAAAGAUUGAAUUUGGGUGGCAUAUCUCUUAACUUUUUAUGAACCUUUACAAGUGAAAAAAUUGCUGUAAUUUUUAUAUGACUGCAAACACUUUCACCUUUCUAGAGUUAAUGUUUACAUUCUCUUUAAAUUAAGUUUGCCAUUCCUAAUGUUAUGAAACUUUUACACAAGGCUUAUUACCACAAAAAACAGUUUAAGUUUGAAUUUGGAUGGCAUAACUUUUAACCUUUUUGAGGUUAUAAACCUUCACAAGUGGAAAAAUUGCUGUAAAUUAUACAACCACAAUUUUUUUUUAAGUAACAAAUAUUCACAAACAAUUUGGAAUGUUUUUGUUCAUAGUCUGUUUUAACCCAGAUUGCCUGCCAAAGAAUGAAACCAGCAUUUUAGAUUUUAGGUUUACGAGUUAUGUGGUUUUAUUCAUUGAAAAAGUUGGUUUUUUUCCAGUUUUUGUACAUGACAACUUUUAAAUUUACAUAUCUGAGGGUUAUGGAGUUUUAUUUAUUAAAAGAAAGGGUUAUUUUCCAGUUUUCUGACCAUGACUCAAAAUUGCUAUUAGCAGUUUCCUUGAAACUUUGGUGAUUUGUUUAUAUCUUUUGAUGUAAGCUCCCAUUCAAAUUCUAUUAAUUUCAGAUUUUAAGUUUCCAGGUUAUGGGGUUUUAUUCAUUAAAUAAGGGGGAUUUAUCAAUAAAAGAGAAACUUUUGUAUGUCCCUCUCUGGAACGCGGCGUAAAUUUACAUAAGGACUUAUUGAAUCCUCCUUGGAAACAGUAAACUUUUAUGUGGAUAGUUCAUUCAGCUAGAAUACUUAAAUUACUCAUUUAUUAUAACAUUUCUAUCUAUGAGUGAAAUUUACCCCAAUUUUUAGCUCACCUGGCCCGAAGGGCCAAGUGAGCUUUUCUCAUCACUUGGCGUCCGGCGUCCGGCGUCCGGCGUCGUCCGGCGUCCGGCGUCGUUUACUUUUACAAAAAUCUUCUCCUCUGAAACUGCUGGGCCAAAUUAAACCAAACUUUGCCAUAAUCAUUAUUAGGGUAUCUAGUUUAAAAAUUGUGUCCGGUGACCUGCCCAACCUUCCAAGAUGGCCGCCAUGGCUAAAAAUAGAACAUAGGGGUAAAAUGCAGUUUUUGGCUUAUAACUCAAAAACCAAAGCAUUUAGAGCAAAUCUGACGGGGUAAAAUUGUUCAUCAGGUCAUGAUCUAUCUGCCCUGACAUUUUCAGAUGAAUCGGACAACCCGUUGUUGGGUUGCUACCCCUGAAUUGGUAAUUUUAAGGAAAUUUUGCUGUUUUUGGUUAUUAUCUUGAAUAUUAUUAUAGAUAGAGAUAAACUGUAAACAGCAAUAAUGUUCAGCAAAGUAAGAUUUACAAAUAAGUCAACAUGACCGAAAUGUUCAGUUAACCCCUUUAAGAGUUAUUGCCCUUUAUAGUCAAUUUUUAACCAUUUUUCGUAAAUCUUAGUAAUCUUUUACAAAAAUCUUCUCCUCUGAAACAACUGGGCCAAAUUAAACCAAACUUGGCCACAACUAUCAUUAGGGUAUCUAGUUUAAAAAAUGUGUGGCGUGACCCACCCACCCAACCAAGAUGGCCGCAACAGCUUAAAAUAGAUCAUAGGGGUAAAAUGCAGUUUUUGGCUUAUAACUCAAAAACCAAAGCAUUUAGAGCAAAUCUGACUGAGCAAAAUUGUUCAUCCGGUCAAGAUCUAUCUGCCCUGAAAUUUUCAGAUGAAUCGGACAACCCGUUGUUGGGUUGCUGCCCCUGAAUUGGUAAUUUUAAGGAAAUUUUGCUGUUUUUGGUUAUUAUCUUGAAUAUUAUUAUAGAUAGAGAUAAACUGUAAACAGCAAUAAUGUUCAGCAAAGUAAAAUUUACAAAUAAGUCAACAUGACCGAAAUGGUCAGUUGACCCGUUUAAGAGUUAUUGCCCUUUAUAGUCAAUUUUUAACCAUUUUUCGUAAAUCUUAGUAAUCUUUUACAAAAAUCUUCUCCUCUGAAACAACUGGGCCAAAUUAAACUAAACUUGGCCACAACUAUCAUUUGGGUAUCUAGUUUAAAAAAUGUGUGGCGUGACCCACCCACCCAACCAAGAUGGCCGCAACAGCUUAAAAUAGAACAUAGGGGUAAAAUGCAGUUUUUGGCUUAUAACUCAAAAACCAAAGCAUUUAGAGCAAAUCUGACACUGUGUUAAAUUGUUCAUCAGGUAAAGAUCUAUCUACCCUGAAAUUUUCAGUUGAAUCGGACAACCCAUUGUUGGGUUGCUGCCCCUGAAUUGGUAAUUAUAAGGAAAUUUUGCUGUUUUUGGUUAUUAUCUUGAAUAUUAUUAUAGAUAGAGAUAAACUGUAAACAGCAAUAAUGUUCAGCAAAGUAAGAUUUAUGAAUAAGUCAACAUGACUGAAAUGGUCAGUUGACCCAUUUAGGAGUUAUUGCCCUUUAUAGUCAAUUUUUAACCAUUUUUCGUAAAUCUUAGUAAUGUUUUACAAAAAUCUUCUCCUCUGAAACUACUGGGCCAAGUUAAUUAUAGAUAGAGAUAAUUGUAAGCAGCUAGAAUAUUCAGUAAAUUAAGAUGUACGAACACAUCACCAUCACCAAAACACAAUUUUGUCAUGAAUCAAUCCGCGUCCUUUGUUUAAUAUUCACAUAGACCAAGGUGAGCGACACAGGCUCUUUAGAGCCUCUAGUUUUAUUUAAUGGCCUAAAAGUUAAUUUAUGAGGAAAUGAGAAGUUUAAAUGGACCAAAAGAGGCCUUAUAAUGUAGACAUUAGAGGUCCAUUUGUGGUAUUAUCAUCUAAUAAAGUCAUCUUUUGUAUCAUAUUCAACUGUUUGUAAAAAGACGAGUUAAAUAUUUGAUCAUUUAUGGUCCACACUAUAUUCUUUCAUGAUGCGACUUAAUUUGGAUUUUUGCUCAAAUCACUGUUGAUGUUGUUUUACAUUAAACUAGAUUUUACUCAAACUAUUGAACUGAUUAUGAAAAAACUUGACAGUAAUGCUUGAAAUACCCAGUUUUAUGAAGGAAAAAAGUCAUAUUCCACAAAAAGGUCUUCUUUAACCAGUUGCAUUUACCUAUUGAUUUUAUUCAUAUAUCACUUUGUUGAAGAAAGGUGUGUUUUUUUUUAAUUUUAAAGAAAGUGUAGAAGAUGCAAUGGCUGUAUCAGUGCAAGAAUUAGUACCAAGUACAGAAAAGCCAUACAACACUCAACCUGUCGAUGAAUCAUCUAAUGACAGUUGUCUAAAUGACCCUGCACCAUCUGCUCUUAAAGAAACUGAUGAGCUGGACUCGGAACUCCCUGAUCAAAUAGGUGAACAUGAUGGUAUGUGAUUUAUGUAUGGUGAAUAAAUGGAUAAAACCCGCUGCUGUUGUCAUUAGUCAAUAUCUCCAAAAUUAAGCUUUUUAUAUCAGUAUUAAAGGUUUGUAACAGAUCUGUACUCUGCAAGUACUAUAGAUUCCUUUAUAUUUGUGGAUUGAGGAAAACUUGAAUUUUCAAUGAUAUUUAAUUUCGUUGUUUUGGCAAUCUGCAUGCAUUCCCCUAGAAAAUCUGUGAUUUGUUGACUAAUUAAUUCCUUUUCCCCUGUACCCAAAAAUCCAUGAAAAAUUGAAAAAUAUGAAAAGAUGAAAAGAUGAAAAGUAAUGAAUCACACAAUGAAUUUAAAUGACUGAUACAGAUAGAGCAUUAGACAUGAAUAGAUGUCAUAGUUACAAACACUAUAAAAUGAUUUACAAUUAUGAUUAUUAAAAAUUAUAAUUUAAAAAAUGAUAAUUAUGGAAAUUGUCAUGAUAUUUUGAUAUUUUAUAGCUAGAUAGUAAAGAUUGAAUUAAAUAGACCAGAUAUUGUUGUUUUAACAAGUUAUUUUUAUUUAAAGAUGAAAUGGAGACAAAAGUUCUUUUUGCAUCAAGGCCUCCUCAACAUUCAGAAUUAGUUACUAGUGUAACAGGAAGUGAAGCAUUAGAGCCAUACAAAACUGAAUCUGAUGGGGAAUCAGUUGACGAAACUUCACUUAAGGAUGUUGCUAAAGACCGUGCUUCAUCUGAACCUGUCAAAAUUGCUCCUCAAAGAGAUUUCCAGUAUAGUACAUCAGAUGAACAAAAGACGGGAGUGCAUUCCACUGUGCCUUUUAAAUUUAAAAGGGAAUAUAAAACAUUUAAUUUAAGAAAGAAAAGCUUUAAUUCCUCUUGCAAGUGGCCACUCUCUAAACCUUCUAUACCAGAAAUGGCCAACGCUGGAUUCUUCUGCAGUGGUAUGCUUAUUAUCCACAUCAUUUAAAUUUGAUUGCAUAUUUGAAAAAUAAUUUACAACUUUCACUCAUAUUUUGACACUCACAAUUUAGACCAAGGUUAAAUUUAGGUUACUAUGUACUUAACAUUUUAUAGAAUAAGGAAAACUGUGGAUUAAUUGAUUAUUGUGGAUACCAAUUUCAGGACAUUAGAAUUUGUGGUUUAUCUUUACCAACAAAAUCCUUAAAUUAAAGAAACUGGUAUUCCAUGAACAAUGAUUAAUCCACAGUUCAUACUUGUAAUGAAAAAAUUGAUGAACAUUAGGGCCAACAUUCGUAAAUAGGUAUAGGAAGAUGUGGUAUGAGUUCCAAUGAGACAACUCUCAAUAACCUAUUUAAUCGCUAUUUUACAGAAAUUUUCAUUUGAUCUUACUGAAUAAUUUCCUUUCUCUGCACAGUAGAGUGAUUUGAAAAUUUAUUCCUAGAAACAAAGGGCCCACAUGCCCAAUGUCAAUGAAGUUUAGAACGUAAAAAAGUGAUGAACAGAUUAUCAUUGGCCAUCUCAACUUGAUUGCUUUUAUCCAUACUGGCUCAAGAGAGAAAAUCAAUCUUGUUGAGAUGAUCAGAUAAUCUAUAAAUACAAACCAGUUAUGAAAUGAACAAAAUAAGUGAAUUAAAUUUUUAGCUCACCUGGCCCAAAGGGCCAAGUGAGCUUUUCUCAUCACUUGGCGUCCGGCGUCCAUAAACUUUUACAAAAAUCUUCUCCCGUGAAACUACUGGGCCAAAUUUAAACAAACUUGGCCACAAUCGUCAUUGGGGUAUCUACUUUAAAGAAUGUGUCCAGUCCCGGCCAACCAACCAAUAUGGCCACCAUGGCUAAAAAUAGAACAUAGGUGUAAAAUGUAGAUUUGGCUUAUAUCUCUGAAACCAAAGCAUUUAGAGCAAAUCUGACAUUGGAUAAAAUUGUUCAUCAGGUCAGAUCUAUCUGCCCUGAAAUUUUCAGACAAAUCGAACAUUCUGUUGUUGGGUUGCUGCUCCUGAAUUAGUAAUUUUAAGGAAAUUUUGCAGUUUUUGGUUAUUAUCUUCAAUAUUAUCUUAGAUAAAGAUAAACUGUAAACAGCAAUUAUGUAUAGCAAAGUACGAUCUACAAAUAAGUCAACUUGACCAAGUUCAUAAUAGAUUUAAGGUAGAUACAUGGUAUACCGCCAUCUUGGAUUGUACAAUCACAGUUCAAAAUCAGUAUAGUUAUUUGCCCAAAUCUGCAAAUUUUGAGACAGAUUUGUAGUUUAAUGAUUAAACUGAUUAUUUAUAUAAGGAAAACUUGAUGAUUUAUUGUAUAAUCGAAAAUAUUUACACAAAUACCAUUUUGUUUUGUUUUAAAAAUAUUUUUUUCAAAUGAGCCAUUUAAGGGGAGAUUACUUUUUUAGUAAAAAAUUUAUACUGGACUAAUAAGGAAAAAAUUUAUUUUUACUUGCAGCAAGAAAACAAGUUUGGUGUCCCCCGUUUUUAUUUUUAUUUUCUUAAAACAUGUAAUAAACAUUCUUCUCACAAUUUAUUUCAAAAUUCUGUCUCAUAGAAUUUUUUUUAUGCACACAAAUGUGUUUUUUCAUGAACAAUCUAACCAAAUUUAGGCAAUUUUCAACAACUCAUAGCUUGAUAAAUAGCACGGUGACCCAUAUUUUUUUUUAACAUAUUUGAAAAAAGCCUAGUAAAAUCUUCAUUUUGGCAAAUUAUAAGAAAAUUCUGUAUCAAAAAGUAUUUACUUAUGAUCUACCUUAAGAUAAUUGUAAGCAGCAAGAUAGUUCAGUAAAGUAAGAUCUACAAACACAUCACCAACACCAAAACACAAUUUUGUGAUGAAUCCAUAUGUGUCCUUUGGUUAAUAUGCAGAUAGACCAACGUCACAAAGGUGAGCAACACAGGCUCUUUAGAGCCUCUAGUUUUGUUUCUACAGAACAUUAUGGCUUUUUUUUUAUUUCUUAAAACAAUGUGGAUGAAAUGGUGGAAGUGCUUCUUAUUUCAAAUGUGAUUCACAAAUAAAAAAAGUAACAUUUUAAAUUUUGAUAGAAUUAUAUGUAUGCAGGCCAUUUCCUGAAAUUGUAAUAAUUAAUCUCACAGAUUGGUCUUUUUUUUUAAAUCACAAUUACAAAUGCAUGGAUACAUUUCUGAAUUCACAGUAUCUAAGUCUGGCAAUAUGCUCUACAAAGAGUUGUUAUAGAAAGCAGAACAUUUUGUCAAUAAGCUGUCAUACUCAGUCUGUAUAAAAGUUAAGCUACUUGUUGUUUCUUAUAGUUAAUCUAUUUUGUGUGUUUUAGGGUGUCUUACAUGGGCUCAGUGCUAUUCCUGUGGAUUAAAGAGGCUUUGGCAAGAAGGAGAUGAUCCAUUUGAUAAACUGUUGCAUGAUAAUUGUUCUCAUCUUAAACACAUAAAGGAAAAAAAGGUCAGCAUGAAAUAACCAAAGAAUUAAAACCUAUAUGGAGUCCUUUAUAUCCAAUGUUGCCAUGGCUAGUUGCAACAUAGGAUGACCUCAAUUGUAUUACAUUGUGUACAAUGUUUUAGUUUCAAAAUGAUUUCUAAUAUGUCUAUCUGACCAACCUGAAUAACAGGAGUCACCAAAAAUACAGAACUGCACAACAGACAUCAAAAACCACUGACACAAGACUCCAAAAACAAAUAAACACACAAAACAAUAGCAAGAAAGACAAACAAAAAGUAAAAUCACAAAAGUACUGAACUCCGAGGAAAAUUAAAAAUGGAAAGUCCCUAAUCAAAUGGCAAAAUAAAAAGGAAUGGAUAACAACUGUAACAUUCCUGACUUGGAACAGGUAUUUUCUUAUGUAGAAAAUUGUGGAUUAAACCUGGUUGUAAAGCUAGCUAAACCUCUCACUUAACAACACAUGGUUCACAUAGUUCAGAUAGACUGACCAGGUAUAGGUCUAAAACUUAACUGAUGAUAUGACCAAAUUGCAAAGUUUCACAUCUUUCUAUAAUAAUUGUUAAAGAUUUAUUUUGGUUAUUUCUGUUGUUGGUUUGAUUUCUCAUUGAUGUGUAUGUUUUAGUUCCUUUUAUUCAUGCUUUGCCUGUCUAACCUCUACAAAGUUGCUGAAGCAAGACUAAGGCAAAAUUUGUAAAUAGAUCAGUUUAUGGUAAACCACUAAGGUUAGUCAGUGGUUUUUUUUUUGUAUUGGCACAUCUCAUUUUUAAGGACAUUUCUUGGUCCUGCUCUAUUGAUUAGAUUAAAUUUAAUUAGACUAUCAUAAUGUAUGGAGGUGUAAUACAACCAAAUCAUGGUACGUCACAUCCAAUGUAUACAAAAAUAGGUUGAAAAAAAAAUUUCCCUUGAAUAUGACAGUUGUAGGUAAUUAAUCCUACAUUUUAUUGUAGUAAAAGAUUUCUGUGUCAUAAACAUAUGUCUUGGGUAUUUCUAAGCACCAUUAUUUUUUUAUUUGGGAUUUCUAUAGAACAUUUUGUAAUCUUUAGGUUACAUGGUGACUAAACCUUGUACACAAUAAAAAUAAGGGGAGAUAUUUGAUUGGUUAAUUUCCAGUGAUGGUCAUUUUCUUAUAUGCAAUGAAAUGUUAUAUGAAUUUUUUUCUAUAGUGUUGGACAGGAUAAAACUUGACUCAUGCCAAGUUUUUCUUUAUUUGAAACAAAGAUAAAUUCUACACUUUUUUUUGAAAAGUGCAAAUUUAACAAAGACUAUAAAUAGGGGAAAAUCAAUGGUGGUAUUACACCUAAUAUGGGAAGCUGUACAUUCACCUUUUCUCUUCUCCUUCUCGCUGUGGUGUCCAAAUCAGUGUUCAACUCUUUAACUUAAAAAGUAACUUUAUUUAAAAGGUGUUUUGUACCAUAACUAAAAAUCGAUUUAUGAUAUUGCUUAAAUUUUUACAUACUUUUUAGUUAUAUUCAUCUCAAGAUCUGUAUACUUUUGGGGAUGAUUCAAAAUUUUAUUUUAGAGUUCUUCAGAUUUUUGUAAAACAAAUUGUCACAUGUCAGGCCGUAUUUCAAAAACCAUUUAUGAUUGUUACUUCAAAAUGUACAGACUUCUCAAUUGUAUUAAUCUUAAGAUCUGUAUACUUUUUGGUGAUGAUUCAAAAUUUUAUUUUAGAGUUAUUGAGGUUUUUGUAAAAAACAUGUCAGGCCAUAUUACAAACACAAUUUAUGAUAAUUACUUUAAACUUUACACACUUCUUAAUUGUAUUAAUCUUAAAACGAUUUAUUUUUUUUUGCUUAAACUUCAAACAAGACGACGAGCGAAUCAUGAGCUCAUGGUGCAGCUGUUUAUUCAGCCAAUAUUUUUAUUGCAUUAAUAAAUAUUUUAUAACAUUUUAUUUAUAUAUGUAUUGUAUCAAUCAUACACACUGAACUUACAUGCUCUGCCAAUUUUAUAGAUCCAAACUUAUAUUUAUGCUAAUUUAAUAUAUUUUUAGGCAUCUGGUGAAGUUUAUGAUAGUACCAACCCUUAGCUAACAGAAUUGGUGGCAAAAUCAAUGUUGAAAUGGAGUAAAAACAAUGAAACAUGCUUUUGUUAGACUACCUGCAUGAUUUCAAAUUAUUCCAUAUGACAAUGAAACGACUUCUUUGUACAGCUAACGAUAGUUCCAUGAGCAGAUAGUUGUUGAUCUGAUGAUAACAUUUUAUGUGAUUCUUUUAAAACAAGAAUUGGGCCAAAGGGUAGUGUUCAGUUUUAUAGAAAGAUGUUGAACUAAGCGUUGAUUUCAAAUACUGCUAUUUUAAGGAAGGAAGUCAUUUUGAAAUGCAUCAAAUGCAUUUUCACUCAUUAAUCAUAUAUCUUGGUAGCUGCGGAACCGUAUCCCUUAUGUCCUUAUGUGGUUUUUUUUACUAUUUCUGAGGACCAUAGAGCUACGGAUUUUUCCUAUUUCAAAACAUUCUGAAUUGCGACUCAGGUUCAGGUCGCACUUUACACUAUUAUCUGAUUAUUCACAUUUGGAUACAUUUUCCGCCUAUUUUGUUCAGCCAUAUUGAAUCUUGUUGUGACGUCACGAUAAAGAAGAAAAGAUAACUCUUAUUGGAAAACACAUGUUGGUUUGUUUACGUUGUCUUUUAUUGUAAUUUGAAUACUUUUUUUUUUUAAUGAAAUAACUUUUAAUUAAAUUUAAAUACUAAUGGAAAUAAUAAUCCUUCAAAGUUAUUAAAAUAUUUCGUGUGAAAUAAUGUUGUAAAGCAUAAAAAUCACUUGAUUAUUGCUUAGAAAUAAGUAAACAAACUAACGCUUGUCUUCCUAUAAGAGUUAUCUGUUCUUGUUUUUCAUAGGCGUACCUUGGUACAUGUUGUAGUAGUACUGGUUAUGAAAAAAAAAUACAUUGGAAGGUAUGACCAGUAUAUUGUGUUGUGGAGUUAUUAAUGGUUAUGCUGCUGUUAUUUUGCUGUUAUUUUGUUUGACACAUUUGUAUGUAAUAUUUUCUAAACUGUAAAUAUGGUGAAUCACUCGAUAAUGAGUCUAAAUAUAUAAUAUAAAGAUGUUAUACUCUUUGAAACAGUUAGAGAUAUUGUAUAUAAGUUAUUAAAGUCUUUCAGAUAUGUUUGCUGUCUUUCAUAUUAAUUUAAAAUUAAGUGAUACAUUAUUUUUUUAAGUUAAUUUUGUGAUAUCUUUGUCUUUCAUGCAAUGCAAUCUUGGAGAAUAGCUAGAUUAGUUUGUUUAUUGAAUAUUGUUAUAUUGCUUAUAUUUGUAAUUUUUUCAUGCAUAUGUCAAUUUUAUAUAUCAGUAAAAUCUAUCCAGUAGUAUACAAUUUGUCCCCCAGACUUUGUUAUGAAUUUUAAAGUCUUUUUAAUAUGGUAGUUCUCCUAAUGUUGAAAUAUCAUUAUUGAAAUAAUUUCAAAAAUAGGAAAAUCUCAGCCUUAUGUUUGCCUAAAGCAAAUUUUUAGCUCACCUGGCCCGAAGGGCCAAGUGAGCUUUUCUCAUCACUUGGCGUCCGGCGUCCGUCGUCGUCCGUCGUCGUCGUCUGUCGUCGUCCUGCGUCCGGCGUUAACUUUUACAAAAAUCUUCUCCUCUGAAACUACUAGGCCAAAUUUAACCAAACUUGGCCACAAUCAUCAUUGGGGUAUCUAGUUUAAAAAUUGUGUCCGGUGACCCCGCCAACUAACCAAGAUGGCCGCCAUGGCUAUAAAUAGAACAUAGGGGUAAAAUGCAGUUUUUGGCUUAUAACUCAAAAACCAAAGCAUUUAGGGCAAAUCUGACAGGGGGUAAUAUUGUUAAUCAGGUUAAGAUCUAUCUGCUCUGAAAUUUUCAGAUGAAUCUGACAUUCCGUUGUUAGGUUGCUGCCCCUGAAUUGGUAAUUUUAAGGAAAUUUUGAUGUUUUUGGUUAUUAUCUUGAAUAUUAUUUUAGAUAGAGAUAAACUGUAAAAAGCAAUAAUGUUCAGCAAAGUAAGAUCUACAAAUAAGUCAACAUGACCAAAAUGAUCAGUUGACCACUUUAGGAGUUAUUGCCCUUUAUAGUCAAUUUUUAACCAUUUUUCGUAAAUCUUAGUAAUCUUUUAGAAAAAUCUUCUCCUCUGAAACUGCUGGACCAAAUUAUUUGAAACUUGGCCACAAUCAUCUAACCAACUAACCAAGAUGACCGCCAUGGCUAUAAAUAGAACAUAGGGGUAAAAUGCAGUUUUUGGCUUAUAACUCAAAAACCAAAGCAUUUAGAGCAAAUCUGACAUGGAUAAAAUUGUUAAUCAGGUGAAGAUCUAUCUGCCCUGAAAUUUUCAGAUGAAUUGGACAACCUGUUUUUGGGUUGCGGCCCCUGAAUUGUUAAUUUUAAGGAAAUUUUGCUGUUUUUGGUUAUUAUAUUGAAUAUUAUUAUAGAUAUAGGUAAACUGUAAACAGCAAUAAUGUUCAGCAAGGUCAGAGUUACAAAUAAGUCAACAUGACCAAAAUGGUCAGUGACCUCUUUAGGAGUUAUUGCCCUUUAAAGUCAAUUUUUAACCAUUUUUCGUAAAUUUUAUAUAUCUUUUACUAAAAUCUUCUUCUCUGAAACUGCUGUGCCAAAUUGAUCCAAACUUGGCCACAAUCAUCUUUGGGGUUUCUUGUUUAAAAAUGUGUCCGGUGACCUGGCCAUCAAACCAAGAUGGCCGCCACGGCUAAAAAUAGAACAUAGGGGUAAAAUGCAGUUUUUGGCUUAUAACUCAAAAACCAAAUAAUUUAGAGAAAAUCUGACAUGAAGUAAAAUUGUUAAUCAGGUCAAGAUCUAUCUGCCCUGAAAUUUUCAGAUGAAUUGGACAACCUGUUUUUGGGUUGCGGCCCCUGAAUUGGUAAUUUUAAGGACAUUUUGCUGUUUUUGGUUAUUAUAUUGAAUAUUAUUAUAGAUAUAGGUAAACUAUAAACAGCAAUAAUUUUCAGCAAAGUAAGAUCUACAAAUAAGUAAACAUGAACGAAAUGGUCAAUUGACCCCUGUAGGAGUUAUUGACCUUUGUAGUCAAUUUUCAAUCUGCUUCCUUUAUUUAAUAUUCACAUAGACCAAGGUGAGCGACACAGGCUCUUUAGAGCCUCUAGUUUAAUAAAAUUACCAAUAAGUGUCCGAAGAGGUUUUAAAGGUUCUGUGAUUCCAUACUCUCUUUUUUUUUAUGAAUUUCAAUAAGGGCUUAAUUUGGCCCAAUUCGUUUUCAUUGCUAAAUUUGAACUUUGUUUUAGAUUUCUAUUUUGAGAUUGCUUAUAAGUUCGAACUCUUGUGUGUAAAAUUAAAAGCCAAUACAAUUUGAUCCAAGAAGUUAUGAUAAAUGCAGUUGUGUCAUCAAAACAGGGCUCUCACUGGUUCAUAUGAAAAAUAUGUGCUGUCAUUUCAUGCUUAUGUUUUUGAACUGACAAAAUUAAUAGUGUUUAAACAUUGUAAUCCAACCUUUAUGUUUAAAUAAAACAAAUAAUUUAUAAAGUUUAACUUUGCUGCACUUUCAUAGAAACUUUGAAAAAAUGCAUUUAAGGUAUAAUUUGAUUUGCAUUUUUUAUGCCCCACCUACGAUAGUAGAGGGGCAUUAUGUUUUCUGGUCUGUGCGUCCGUCCGUCCAUCUGUCCAUUCGUUCGUCCGUCCGUCUGUCCGUUCGUCCGUCCGUCUGUCCCGCUUCAGGUUAAAGUUUUUGGUCAAGGUAGUUUUUGAUGAAGUUUAAGUCCAAUCGACUUCAAACUUAGUACAAGUGUCCCCUAUGAUAUGAUCUUUCUAAUUUUAAUGCCAAAUUAGAGUUUUUACCCCAAUUUCACGGUCCACUGAACAUGGAAAAUGAUAGUGCGAGUGGGGCAUUCGUGUACUGAGGACACAUUCUUGUUUACAAGAUAUUUUACAGAUCCCUAAUACUCAUUGUACAUCCUUCUUUGUUAUUGUUUUCAUUUGAAAUGAACUAUUGAGGUAUAUUUCACAGAAUUUGUCAUGGGAUGAUGACUUGUCAUGCCAUAAACUUACGAAAUGACAAGGGACAUUUUAUUAAUUUCAUAACAAUCCUCCAAAUAUAAAAAAAUAGAUGUGGUAUGAUUGCCAAUGAGACAACUCUUUAAAAGAGACCAAAUGACACAGAAAUUAACAACUGUAGGUCACUUUACGGGCACAUACUUACAGAAUGUGGCAAGGUUAAACAUGUUAGCAUGAUCUCAACCCUCCUCCUAACCUAGGACAGGGAUGUAACAGUACAAUAUAAAAAUAAACUAUAAAAAUGAGUUGCAAAAGACUAAACUCAUCAGAUGGUUACAAAUAGAAAUACAGAUAAAAAAAGAAUACCAUUUUGGAAAUUAUUGAAUUAACACAAUUUUCAUGCUAUUAUCAUACAGUAAACAUUAAGAGUUAUUUACCCUGACUAU